UCAUCCCAAUUGCUCCAUUAGUUGGGACGGUUUGUAUUUGAGCGUCCGCUAGUUUUCGACAAUUACUUCGACCACUCUUUAUCAUGGUUAUAAUUUCAGCUGUCUUCAUCUUCUUUCUCUCCUUCUCAAACAAGGUUUUGAAAUCCCUAAAAUUAAACCUAAGCUCUACUUCGUGAGUCCUCUUUAGAAAUUUCUUAUUUCCAGAUCUCCAUUUGUGAAAUCGAUCUUCACUUUCAUCUCCAUCUCCGCGAACUCGUUCACAUCUAACGGAUUUAUUAUGCAAACUUAGGACUUAUCGAGUCUAGGGCAGAGUUUUGCUAGGAUUCAAGGGUUAUAACAGGAUUCAUCGUGGUCAUCAGGUUUAUCAACAAGUUUGUGCAUCUUGCCAUUCAGUGUCUCUAAUUUCAUACAGUGAUCUUGUCGGUGUUGCAUAUACAGAAGAGGAGACGAAGCUAUGGCUGCUGAGAUUGAGGUCGAAGAUGGAACUAAUGAUGAAGGUGAGAUGUUUACUUGGCCAGGUAAGCUAAUUUAUCGUUUACCGCAGCCAUAUGCAAGUGAACAGGCUGCUAGGUUUGCUAAUGGAGACGCAUAUCCACCAGAUCUGAGCCUCAUCACCAAGGCUCGUCACAAUGUUCAAAAACUACCGUGAUCCUCAUGCUAGUGUUUUGGUUAGGUGAUUCCCUUCUGAUUUUUACUAUGUGCAACGAAAGCUUUUAUCACUUAACAUUCAAAGAUACUGAAUCAUUUGAAGUUUCUAGAAAACGUCGUGUUAGCUCUUGUAAAUUGCUUGAGAUGUGAGCAUCGGGUGUUGAAAAAGGUAUGCUUUCCUUACUAACAACUCUUAUGUAGUAUUAUAUUUGUCUCACCUCUGAUAUUUUUGUUAGCGCUAUAGUAGGCAGCCUGGUUUAUAUCCAACAUAGCAGCAGGUACUCUUGCUCAUAAGAAGUUGAUAUACUUUAGCGAGACAUUGCCUUUUGCUACAUCUUCUUUCUGCUGCUCCAUUCGACAUAAGAAAUGAGGUAGCGUAUGCACUUGGUAACCUUUGUGUCGCCCCGGUUGAAGAAAAUGACCAACCAAAUACCCGAUCCUUGGUUUAUCCUUAGUUUGAUCUUCAUUUUCUCGCAUUUUGUUUGCUUUGAUCUUGUUUACAUGAUCCUUAGUCCUUUUGUAUAUAAUAUUGGAGUUUGAUGUUAAGGUUUUCAUUUUUGUCUUCGUUUUGUUUGAGAGAUUGCACUCCUGUUUGUUUGAGAGAUGUGGAUUCUUUAUUUGUACACUUUUUAAGCAUUCAAGCGCACUAAUUUAUUUUGCUUUGAAACAGGAGUUAGCGGCUAAGAAUAGUGAAAAUAGGGCCAAACAAAAGGUUCAACACAGUGACACACUGGGGAAUACACAAAAGAGGGUCAAAUGGAAAUGCGGCAGGGUACUGGCAGUUCAGUGGAAAUUUUGGUGCCAUGUGCCAACGGUAUGGGCCUUAUCCCAUAUAUUCUAAUUGAGAAUUUCGAUGAUGGUAGAUGGUAGGAAUUUAAUGCUGCGGAGCAAUAAAGGUCGUUCUGGAGCAGAAGCAGUCAAAUACAUUUCCAGUGCAGAUGGUGCACCGUUUACGUCCAAGUUGUGUACAACUAUGGUAGCCUGAGACAUCACCUUUUGAUUGUUUUUGCGGAGUUUUUUCUUUUGUUGUAUGAGACUUGUUAUUCUAAAUGUUUAAAUCAUUUUUGUGAACAACUUGAUUUCAUGAAUGAGAAUGUAUUUUGGGACAAAA